UACGUAGGGGCCGAGCGUUGUCCGGAGUUAUUGGGCGUAAAGCGCGCGCAGGCGGCCUCGCGCGCCCGACGUGAAAGCCCCCGGCUUAACCGGGGAGGGUCGUUGGAGACGGCGGGGCUUGAGGGCGGGAGAGGGCGGUGGAAUUCCCGGUGUAGUGGUGAAAUGCGUAGAGAUCGGCAGGAACACCAGUGGCGAAGGCGGCCACCUAGCCCGCACCUGACGCUGAGGCGCGACAGCGUGGGGAGCGAACUGG
rnacentral:rRNA from 1 species